UGGCGGACGGGUGAGUAAUGUCUGGGAAACUGCCUGAUGGAGGGGGAUAACUACUGGAAACGGUAGCUAAUACCGCAUAACGUCGCAAGACCAAAGAGGGGGACCUUCGGGCCUCUUGCCACCGGAUGUGCCCAGAUGGGAUUAGCUAGUAGGUGGGGUAAAGGCUCACCUAGGCGACGAUCCCUAGCUGGUCUGAGAGGAUGACCAGCCACACUGGAACUGAGACACGGUCCAG
rnacentral:rRNA from 1 species